rnacentral:rRNA from 1 species
AUUGAACGCUGGCGGCAGGCCUAACACAUGCAAGUCGAACGAGUGGCGGACGGGUGAGUAAUGUCUGGGAAACUGCCUGAUGGAGGGGGAUAACUACUGGAAACGGUAGCUAAUACCGCAUACCAUCAGAUGUGCCCAUAUGGGUGUAGCUAGGUGGUGGGGUAACGGCUCACCAAGGCGACGAUCCCUAGCUGGUCUGAGAGGAUGACCAGCCAAACUGGAACUGAGCCACGGUCCCAACUCCUACGGGAGGGAGCAGUGGGGAAUAUUGCACAAUGGGGGCAAGCCUUAUGCAGCCAUGCCGCGUGUAUGAAGAAGGCCUUCGGGUUGUAAAGUACUUUCAGCGGGGCGGCGUUACCCGCAGAAGAAGCACCGGCUAACUCCGUGCCAGCAGCCGCGGUAAUUC